rnacentral:rRNA from 1 species
AGGCCGGGUGUGUAAGCGUAGCGAUACGUUGAGCUGACCGGUACUAAUGAACCGUGCGGCUUAACCUGACAACACCGAAGGUGUUU